GAACGAUCCAAGUUAACACCAAAGAUGUUGAAGCCGGCGGCAUCAUCUUCCUCGUGGGUCCUGUGCCGGGCUCUCAUCGCCGCUGCACUGAUCAUGUGUGCGGCCAACGUUGAGCUUGUCCAUGCAGGUGGCAGGCCAGUGCCGAGACCUCCGGCUCCGGUAGGGCAUGUGGCUCCCAAGGAGCACUGCCCUGACUGCAGCGACAACCCGCCACCGUCGCCCCCGCUUCCUCCUACUCCUCCGGCAGCCUCAGCAGACGUACCUCCUGCUGGCAGCCAUAUGUAAUGUACGCUUGGCGCGCUUCCGCGUUGCACAGCAGGCCGCUGUAGACAUUUCAAGGUUUACUUCAGUCCGUUUGACUUAUCCCAGUGGUACUAGUUCUUUUUCUUUC